UACGAAGGGGGCUAGCGUUGCUCGGAAUCACUGGGCGUAAAGGGUGCGUAGGCGGGUCUUUAAGUCAGGGGUGAAAUCCUGGAGCUCAACGUCCAGAACUGCCUUUGAUACUGGCGAUCUCGAGUCCGGGAGAGGUGAGUGGAACUGCGAGUGUAGAGGUGAAAUGCGCAGAUAUCAGGAAGAACACCCGUGGCUAAGGCGGCUCUCUAGUACGGUACUGACGCUGAGACGCGAAAGCGUGGGGAGCGAACAGG
rnacentral:rRNA from 1 species